CAGUGUAUGCCGGGAAAAGGGGACGCGAUUUCAAAUAAAACCAUACACGGGAGUUCUCUGCCUCUCUGUCCAUUGUUUGAUUUGAAAUACGCGGGCCAGAAAUUGCAAUCUUACCUUUUGAGAACAAAUCAAGCUGAGACGAGACAAGGCGGGUCGAGGCGGGACGAGGCAAGACGAGGCAAGACGAGGCAAGACGAGGCAAGACGAGUGUAAUGGUGUUGUUCAUAAGAUUGCUCAGGGCAAGUGAUGUUUUACACAGUGGUCUCCUGAUUAUAUCUGUUCAGGUGUGGGCGUGGUUCAGGUGUGGGCGUGGUGUACGCCCUUGAGUGCGUGACGAGGUACACACAGUAGGCUAGCUAUUAUUCAAAGCCACAAUCCAAAUCAUGAAAUUAAGGUAUUUCCGAAUCCGUGUAUGGUUUGUUAAAUUGGAAUAUUCAUAUGGAAUACCAACUGUAUUAUUCAGUCUUCCCGUUUUGGACAUCCGUCAAUCUUAUCUUUUUUACUUUGGCGAGCAAGUAGUCAGGAGAUGUUGUCCGGCAUGAAGAGCAGAGAAACACAUCUACAUCAUCUGUAGAGGUGUGGGCGUGGCAUACUCCCAUGGUGCUUCGCGAGUUGAAUGACUAUCGUCAGCGACGCACGGCUCGUCUCACUCUGAUCGGAUUUUCUCUGCUUGAGACAUCUUUAUUCAGAUAGACCCUUUUGCUCUCCUUUCCACGGAUUAAUAUUGUGAGCGGAUUCUUUCGAGUACGUUCUGUCUUUCAACUUUGCGGUUCAACCAAAGAAGUUCGUUGUCACGAUGCCUCGUGCUUCGCGCGCUUCGGCUGCAGCCAAGGUGAAGUGGACGAGGAUUCUUCCCAUGGCGACGACUCUGGCCAGAGGCUUCGAGCCUGUGCGUGGCACUGGAGCACGUCACCGUGUCGAGCCGUGGCCUGUCUCUGCCCACACUGGGAAGUUCAACCGAUUGGAUCUCCCCCCUGAGUCUCCAGAUAAGCAGUUUGUGCUGUUUGUGGGCGACUCGCAUCUGCGUGCGUUGGUUGACCGUUACGUGAGGAUGCCAGACGGUUGCCUUUCGUUUGGGUUCCUGUCUACGCCUGGGGCGUCUGCCGCUGAGCUCCGCACCGAGUUGCUGAACGCAGACAUCCCCAGAACCCCCGACAUCGUUUGCUUGCUGGCUCCGAGCAACAACCUCAAGGCGACGCCUGGCAUCGAAGCGGCUGGAGUUGCCUUCGAAGGACUUCUGAGAGCUGCCCGCAGUCGAUGGCCUAAGGUGUUUGUGCUCGAUUUCCCUCCCCGGCUGGCGAGUGAAUUGGCACCGCAACAAUUCCUUCGAGAGGAGUUUCGUCGCGUUGCAGCAAAGAACGAUGUAAAGUACUGCGUCACAGCUGACCGCUUUCCGCUGGACUCGCGUGCCUUGUGGAGUCGUGAUGGGAUCCACCUGAGUGACGAUCUGGGGAUGCCGCUUCUCGCGAAGCUUCUGUGGCACUUCUCCUUUCUGCAGCUACAGUCACCUCUGCCUGCUACACCUCCGCCUGUGUCUCCUCCCAAGUCACCCCUGACUGUGAGACCCUUUGCUACCACCGUGGUUGUGAAGGGAGAGGUUUCCCGUCCACGUCCCCUUGACCCCUUCAAGGAAACUGUUGUCGGACGUCGCGGAAAGCGCAGCCAACCUGAGUCCUGGGAUGCGCCUGAGGACUGGGAUCAGUCUUCCGUGCGGAUCCUUCCUCAUGAGGUUUGUACAUUGGUUUGUGUGCCUCCUCUGGUCCUGAGGGAGUGCUUUGUCGUGCUAAACCCUAUCCGGUUUAGCACUGACAAGUUGGCUGCAAUGGAUCGCAUUGUUCCAUCCAACCUUGAUGUCCCCAUGGGGAAUCGCUCAAGGAAACGGAAGGUGGCACAUGGAACCACGGCUGUGGUCUCCAAAGGAAAGAAGGCCCGCCUUGAGGCACUUCCAACUCCAGCAAGGAUUGCCAAACCUUCGAAGCUGGUACCUCCCCCUCGACCUGUUCCAGAAGCUGCUGUGCCAGCCACUCUGGAGGGCAGCGUCUUUGUGCCUUCGAGCAAGUUUGCUCAACCGGAGGGGGAUGACCAGACUCUGUGUGUUGAUGAGUGGCCGUUUCUUCAAACAGAGUUUUGUGAGAAGGUGAACCAGCCAACUCCUCGGGUUGUCUCUGGACAGAGAAAACAAGAGGAGCUAACACCUUGGGUGCCAAAAGUUGUGAUGGCCCAGGCUGAUAAACCAACAGCCAAUGAGACCAGCUUCUUGGGAUGUUCAACCAAGGUAAUGACAACAAUAUAAAAAAUGAUUUGCAAAUAAGCAAUCAAUCUGUUCCAGGAUCAGUAUCUAGGAACAUUUACAUUUUUACUUCAUAAUUACAAUCAACAUAGUUUAACUGUUUUUAACAUGUUCUUGGUAAUAUCUACACACUAUGAAUUGGAAAUGUCAAGAAGGUUGGCUGAUGAACUUGUUGUGCUCAUUUUAAUUAUUUAAACUGAACUGAAAGAAAAGUUUUCUUUGUCCUUAAUUCUGUUCACCACAAUACACUAAAUGUCCCCUUUUCUAUGGCUUAUGAGUUUGCAUGUAGGGGUAAAACUAAUUUUUUUAACAUUCGUAAUGUUUGUGAUUGCAGAUGACACACAUUGAGGACCAUGAGCCGUUUGAACCAGCACCUGAGGUCACUGCGAGCAGUCAGCAGCAGAGCCCGCCUGAGGACAAUGGCCAGCUUGAAGAUCCUCAUGUAACACUUGGCAAUCAGAAGGCACCCUGUGAUUUCGCACCUGCCAGAGCUGCUACAUCAAGUCAUGUGACUUAUGACAACCCUGGGUGUCUUCAAGGAUCGUUUGACCAGAGCAGCCACAUAUUCGGGGAAAAUGCAGGUAAGCAGUGUGCUACAAAUGGCAUAGCGGCGAUUAUGACCCACACCACCCAUAGCGUUCUCAAAUGGAAAAAAAAGAACAUUCAUCAUAUUCUAAAACAAGGUAAUGCCUUGUACACAUCUAUGCUAGAAAAUAAGGAAAUCAGUGCAGCCAAAACCAGUGGGCAUAUUUUCAUUUCCGAGUUACCCAGACACUGCAAAUUCAACAAUAAAUUAUUUAGUUUGGAAUAUUUUGAUGCACUCACUGGAAGUCUUGAUCAAAAGGAUGAUUAUGACGCUUCUUUGCAAAACAUAGCCAUGCCUUUAGAAGAGGCUAUUCAGAAGACACUGCUGCAGACAGACACAUGCUUGCUCAACAUCCUAGGAAGUGUCUGUGCCGUUUUCAAGGUCGAAACUGCUUUUGCAGUUUUCGAUCCUCAUUCUCGUAGUACUUGGGGUUCGGUUGCACCGGAUGGAACCAGCAUAGUAGCGCACUAUGCUACUGUGUAUGAGUUAUAUGACCAUAUUAAGAACCUUUGCAAUUCCUUAUAUCAAAAUCAUCCACAUGCUUUUGAUAUCCCAAACAAGGUGUUUGAAGUCACUGGUGUGAAAGCUGUUGAGGUAAACUCACCAUUUACUGCACAGCCUGAAGCCAGCACUUCGGCACAUGACGGUACUUUGGACACUGACAGUGACUCUGAUCUCUGUGUCCUUUCGGUAACGGAUAGAAAUUCCCUUGCAGUAAACGCGUCUUUUACCCUUGAAACUGUGCAGCCUGUAGCAAACACUACUACAUGUGACACAACGGUAAACAUUGACAGUGAUCCUCCAAUUCACACAGAGGGUGCAUCAGAUGUCUGUUUAAUUUCUGUAACAGAUAGCCCCAAUAUAAUGUUUACGGGAUUGACAUUAAGGGAAAAAAACAGGAUCUGCAACAAACUGAAUAUCGUACCAAGUUUAGAUCAAAAUAUUGUUGGACAAACCUUUGAUAUGGCACAGCCUGAGCCAUGCCAAACAACAUCCAUUGAAGGUGACGGUAAUUGUUUCUUUCGUUCUCUUUCGUCUGUAUUGAGUGGUUGCGAGUCACAUCACAAGGCCUUUCGUAAGGCUGUAGUGAAUCACAUCUCAAAUAAUCCACUUCAUUACAUUACUUGUCUAAGACGGCAAUUUGCUUCUGUGGAGCAAUAUCUCAUGGACUCAAAAAUGAAAUAUGUUGGAUCUUGGGCAACAGAGUUGGAAAUACAAGCUUCGGCAGAUUUUCUCUGUGUUGAUAUUUACACAUACAGUCAACAGAAAUGGAUUACAUUUACGGCGAACAUUGAGUCGAUUUCAAGAAAAGCUAUAUAUCUGAAUCACUGCAACGAAUGCCAUUAUGAACCAAUUGCAUGUGUCAAAGGAAAAACCUCUCAUACGUGCUUUAGUUUAACUAGCUUCUGUGAAAUGUCGCACAAAAUGUCCAAUGCAGACCUUGUUUCACCAAGAAAAUUUACUGAUAAAGUAAAAAAUCUAAGAAAAAAGAAAACGUAUGCUGAGGACACAGAAUAUAGGCAAGUUAAAAAGCUUCAAACAAAACAAAGAUAUAAUUGUGAUAAACAGUAUCAAGCAAAAUUAAAAAACAGCAGUAUUGAAAGAUAUGCUAAUAAUGAACCGUUCAAAGAACAAGUAAAAAACAGCAGUAUUGAAAAAUAUGCUAAUAAUGAAAUGUUCAAACAACAAGUAAUAAACAGCGGUAUCGAAAAAUACGCAAACAAUCCUGCCCAUCGUAAACAGGUGAUCCAAACAAUUGUAAUCAAAUACAGAGAAGAUCCGGCUUAUAAGCCCUCCGUAAUUGAAAGAAACUGUCAAAGGAGACUUAAUCUAACCCUCUUAAAACACAAUAUUGACUUUGUAAUUGAGCUCUUCCAAGAAGAGGUCAAACAUGGACCAGAACAUGUUUGUUGUGUAUGUCACAGAUUAUUGUUCCGUAAACAAGUUCGAUUAUGUGACAUAACUUCAUAUGAAUCCAAGGCUUCAACUGUGUCAGCAAUUGCAAAACAAUGCAUUACUACAACAUAUCUCCAUCAAUGUGAUAACGCAUGUUUAACGCCAUGCACACUAAAACAGACAGUUGCUGGGAAAUUGUGGAUAUGUUUCAGUUGCAACUCCAAGAUACUCAGUGGUAAGGUUCCCCAGGAGAGCGCUGUGAACAAUAUGGCAUUAGAUCCAAUUCCUGACGAAUUAGGCACACUGAACUCAUUAGAACAACACCUGUGCGCAUUGAAUAUUCCCUUUAUGCGACUUGUGGCAUUGCCACGAGGUUCUCAGAAUUCUGUCCAUGGGCCGGUGACUUGCGUUCCAUCAAACAGCGAUGUAGUCACUUCGGUUCUCCCUAGGCUAGAAAAUCAAGAUUUAAUGAUCCGAAUAAAACUGAAAAGAAAACUUACUUAUAAGGGGCAUUAUCAAUAUCAAUAUGUGCACACUCAAAAAAUCCAAAAUGCGAUAGCCUGUUUAAAGGACAUGAAUAAAUGGUAUAAGGACAUAGACUUUAACGCAGAAUGGGAAAAUCCCUUGCCAGAAGAUGCAUGUUCUGUUUUGAAAGAAUGCAACCCAGUUAAUGACACUCCAUCUGCACCUGAAAGCAGUGACAUUACAACUCAAUCAGACCAGGUGUCGGAUGAUGAAGAAGCUGACCACAUCUAUGAAACUCAAACACACGGGUUACUCUUGGACACAUGUUUGCAACCGAUUGAUAUCGCACAAGAAAUAUUUGAUCAGCAUUUCGAAAGUGUUUUAUCAAUAGCUCCAGCUGAGGGCAACAGUCCUGUUAGGCUGCUGACAGAUAAGGGCAAUGAAGCAAAAUGUUUCCCAACUCUUUUCCCCAAAGGGACGGGUACAUUCCAUGAUGCACGGCCCCACAGGCUCACUCUCAGUAGAUACAUCAACACACGCAUCCUAAAUGCUGAUGGGAGGUUUAGCAGCAACUUGGACUACAUUUUCUAUGCUCAAUAUUUAUCUGAGGUCAAUCAGGUUGUUUCCAAGGUGUCCAUAGCAUUGAGAAAAGGUUACCAUGCAGGGGAAUCAUUGGCUAUAACUUCCGCCAUGCUUUCAAACAAAGACUAUGUAAGUAAUGUCUUAAAAACCGAUCUCGGUUACAAGUUCCUUCAACCGAUCCGAGGGACUCCAGUUUUUUGGCAAGGUGUACAGAAAAAUCUAUUUGCUAUGGUUCGUCAGCUUGGUGUCCCUACUUGGUUCUGUUCAUUUUCAUGUGCUGAUUUACGCUGGACUGAACUCAUCGAUGUUUUCAUGAGACUACAGAAAAUACAGGGAAAUGUCAACGACCUGGACUGGUCACAGAGGUGCAAUUUACUCAAAACUAAUCCGGUUACCGCGGCAAGAAUGUUCCAACACAGGUUUCAGACUUUCCUAAAUGACGUCAUCAAGUCACCAGCUAACCCCAUUGGUAAAGUUAUCGAGACAUUUUUUAGAGUUGAAUUCCAACAACGCGGCUCACCCCAUACUCAUUGUCUGUUCUGGGUAGAAAAUGCACCGAAAAUAGGCAAAAACACAGACCAAGAAGUCACACAAUUUAUUGAUAAAUACAUCAGUUGUGAACUCCCGCCAGCAACCGACGCAUUGCAUGAAGUUGUUUCCAGCGUUCAAAAACACAGCUCCAAGCACUCAAAGAGUUGUAGGAAAAAAGGCACAACAUGCAGAUUUAACUUUCCACGUCCUCCAAGCAACCACACCUUUCUUUGUAGAAGUAAAAUAGACGAGAACCAGGAGGUAACAGACGCUGAUCCGAUAGACGUCUCUAUAUUAGAAAUGCGAAAAGAAAAAGAGGUGGCUAAAAGUGUCAUGACAAGGGUCAAACAUGCUCUUUCAAGUCCAGACCUAACCUUCGACACUGUGGAUCAGCUAUUUGCUUCCAUUAACAUCACCCAGGAAAUGUUUGAAAAUGCCUACCGAUUGACAACCAAUA